CCUACGGGGGGCUGCAGUGGGGAAUAUUGGACAAUGGGGGGAACCCUGAUCCAGCCAUGCCGCGUGUGUGAAGAAGGCCCUCGGGUUGUAAAGCACUUUCAGUGAGGAAGAACGCCUGGUGGUUAAUACCCAUCAGGAAAGACAUCACUCACAGAAGAAGCACCGGCUAACUCCGUGCCAGCAGCCGCGGUAAUACGGAGGGUGCGAGCGUUAAUCGGAAUUACUGGGCGUAAAGCGCACGUAGGUGGCUUGAUAAGCCGGUUGUGAAAGCCCCGGGCUCAACCUGGGAACGGCAUCCGGAACUGUCAAGCUAGAGUGCAGGAGAGGAAGGUAGAAUUCCCGGUGUAGCGGUGAAAUGCGUAGAGAUCGGGAGGAAUACCAGUGGCGAAGGCGGCCUUCUGGACUGACACUGACACUGAGGUGCGAAAGCGUGGGUAGCAAACAGGAUUAGAUACCCGUGUAGUC
rnacentral:rRNA from 1 species